CUUUCGGGCUGAGUAGAGCGGCGGACGGGUGAGUAACGCGUAGGAAUCUACCUGGUAGUGGGGGACAACUUGGGGAAACUCAAGCUAAUACCGCAUACGCCCUAAGGGGGAAAGCGGGGGACCUUCGGGCCUCGCGCUAUCGGAUGAGCCUGCGUAGGAUUAGCUAGUUGGUGGGGUAAAGGCCCACCAAGGCGACGAUCCUUAGCUGGUCUGAGAGGAUGAUCAGCCACACUGGAACUGAGACACGGUCCAGACUCCUACGGGAGGCAGCAGUGGGGAAUAUUGCGCAAUGGGCGAAAGCCUGACGCAGCCAUGCCGCGUGUGUGAAGAAGGCCUUAGGGUUGUAAAGCACUUUCAAUUGGGAAGAAAAGUUUGUCGUUAAUAGCGCCAAGCUCUGACAUUACCUUUAGAAGAAGCACCGGCUAACUCCGUGCCAG
rnacentral:rRNA from 1 species